UGUUUAUAAACUAAAAAAGAUAAAGUCAUUUUUUAUUUGAUACGUUUAUAGGAGAAAAUAUGGCUGAUAUUAUCAAGUUUGUUUAUGUUAUAAUUAUCGUACUCUUUAUAUUUUUCAGUGGAAAGAACAUUGACGCAAAGAAUAUAUGCAUUGAUGAUGUUCAUUGUCAAAAAUAUAAGUGCUCGCCUGGUUUAUAUCCAACGUGUAUAAAUGGCUGGUGUGAAUGCAAGUGAUUAAAUUAUAACAUAGUUUCCAUGAAUACCAAACAUAAGUGCGUACACAAACAUCCUCUUAAAUGUUUCAUUAGGUGUUAUCUAGUUAUAGUGUUGGCAACCUAUAAUUAUCUUUUUCUUUCUCUAAUUUCAUGAACCAUGUUGUUAUGUAUUUGUACUUAAAUAUAAUGGCAAUGAAAUGAAAUAAGUCCGUAAAUGAUAUUAUAUUCAUAGGAUUCUUGUUUCUUUGAGUUGAGAGAAAUCGCAUGUCCUAUAAUUUUGGCAUAUCAUAUUUUCUUUCUAACCCUACCUCGUAUCUGAAUAUAGAUGUUGUAGCCAUUUUAUGAUCCGAAUUAGUUUUAUUUUGAUCUCUAUUAUACAUUGAUUAGUGUCUCAACGAAUUUCGAUUCUCUAUUUUUUCUCCAUCAUACCAUAGCUAUAGAAAAACUUGGUACUGUCUCAGUAUGGUAUACUAGAGAAUUUCUUUUUCUAGUUUCUUUACUUCUUCAAAUACCCUUUUAUGGGUAAUUGCAUGUCAUCUUACGUUAUUCUUGACAUGUUUUUGAGUCAUUUUCAGUAAGUUUAACAUCCAAAAUAGAGGGGUAUUAGAGCAAUUGUUUAUGACUUCGGGAGAUUUGUAAUGUUUUCUAUAUUUGAGUCUCUAAUCAUAUUCUUCCCGAAAUAUAGCAAUUUUUGGGUAUUUCUAGGUGUUUUAACGAAGAAAUCAUGCAAACCGGCAAAGCAAGACAUUUGAAGAUUUGUGAAGAUUUUGGGAAGAUCAAAGAAUGAAGAUUCAAGAGGCCUCAAAAGACAUUACAUAGGGAGAAAUUUUGUUCCUAGGUUCAAAGACAUCUUAUGAAAGCAAACACCCAAAAGACGAAAAAACAUGCGUUUCAGCAUCCAGAGUGCACUCACAUGCGUCUGACACACAUUUCUGGGUGCCUAACGCAUGCUCAUGCGCCUGGUGCAUGGGUCUAGGUGCCUGGCACCUGAAACUCCUCUCACAUGCUCCUAGUACCUAGCGCCUAUGUCUUGCGGGCAAAAACUAAAUUUUGUUACUUGUGGAAAAAUGUUGGUUUUUGGGCCAAACUUCAGGUGGAAACUUUCCUUAUAAAUACCAUACCUCUCAAUCAUAAUUUCUCAUUCAAAACCAAGAAGUUUGCUUAAAGGGAGGAGUUUCUCUCCUCACUCCAUGCUUCUCUAGGGUAUGUUUUAUUUUUUUUGUAAUUUGUCUUUAGUUACCAUGUGUGACUAAAUAUUUUUAGACUAGGGUUCUAAGAUGAGCCUCUAUUAUGGUUGCUGGAUAAUUUAUUUAAUUUAAAGUCUUUGUUCA